GUUUGAUGUUCUAACGUUGGCCCCUAAUCGGGGUUGCGGACAGUGUCUGGUGGGUAGUUUGACUGGGGCGGUCUCCUCCUAAAGAGUAACGGAGGAGCACGAAGGUUGGCUAAUCCUGGUCGGACAUCAGGAGGUUAGUGCAAUGGCAUAAGCCAGCUUGACUGCGAGCGUGACGGCGCGAGCAGGUGCGAAAGCAGGUCAUAGUGAUCCGGUGGUUCUGAAUGGAAGGGCCAUCGCUCAACGGAUAAAAGGUACUCCGGGGAUAACAGGCUGAUACCGCCCAAGAGUUCAUAUCGACGGCGGUGUUUGGCACCUCGAUGUCGGCUCAUCACAUCCUGGGGCUGAAGUAGGUCCCAAGGGUAUGGCUGUUCGCCAUUUAAAGUGGUACGCGAGCUGGGUUUAGAACGUCGUGAGACAGUUCGGUCCCUAUCUGCCGUGGGCGCUGGAGAACUGAGGGGGGCUGCUCCUAGU
rnacentral:rRNA from 1 species